rnacentral:lncRNA from 1 species
UUUCUACUUCCCCUGCAUGACCAGGGACAGGGGAACUGAGCAGGAGCGGGGAGAGGAGGAGGGAGCCCACAGAUGAGGAGCUGGAAGGGCCAGGGCCGGGAGCGGCCUGGUGUCACCCUGUUACAUGCUCGCACCACGCCCUUGCGGCAGCGGGAUAGCCUCCAUGCUGUAAAUGAGGAAACUGAGGCCCAGAGAAGCGGUCACUGUCCAGACGGGAUUUGAACCCAGAUCGGCCUUCAUCUAAAGCUCUUUUCCUCACCCUCAGUGUCUGCAGGGUCAACAGGAAUCACAACACAGAGCGCUAGCUCCCCGACUCCACAGGGUUCAAGUGUGAGCGAGAGGCACUGAAAGCGUGGAGGGUACAGGAAGAGUGAGACGGGGACGCUGUUGCUAGGGACCCAGCUCCCCGCUCCUGGAGGGACGGUAAGUCGAGGGAGCAGGCCAGCAGUCCAGGGAGCCGGGGGCAGCUCCGGGACUGGCCGUCCCUCACCUGAGAGGCGGCAGGCACAGCCCCUGUGGCUGCCAGCCGCCCCAUUCCAGACGAGAUCCAGUGAUCCCCCGUCCGCCCCCGAGGCCUCUGCCGAGGUUGGCAAACUGGUGCUGGCACCGGAAAGCGACAUUCCAGAGGCCCCCCACAAGUCCCUGCCAACCCCGGAUUCUUGGCAGAGCAGGAGAGCAGGGGCUUCUGGGAGACACAGGGCAGAGGCAUGGGGGAGAGGGUUGCGGUUUGGGAGGGGGCGAGGGGCCGACGAGCUGGAACACCUGUCUUCAGAAUGGGGGAGGAGCCAGGCUCCAGACGUGGCAGACCCCCACUCAUCCCGCAAGGAUUGUGCAUGUCUGGCCUGCUCACCCUGACCCCAACAGGAGCCUGGGCAGGGCCCACAGCGCAGCCUGCAGAUUGAGGGGACUGGGCUGAGGGCAGUGUCUCAGACACGGUGUUCUUGAAAAGACACUUUUCAGGUGGCAAAGUUCCUUUCACUACACACUAUAAAAGACUUUCCAGGCAGAGCUCCGACGUGCUGUAUGACUUUGGACAAGACACAUACCCUCUCUGGGCCUCAGAGAUGCAUGAGAGACCAAAGCAGGUAAAUCUUGAAGGUGUCCUCUAGCAAACAGUGUUUAUGAUCCUGAGGUGUCAUGACUUCAGACUCCUCCCUGCUCUCUGGCUGCCCCAUGUCUACAACGCAGCCAAGAGAUCCUUUUAAAUCUGCAAGUGGGGUCACGGCUCCUCUGCUCAUCCCCCGGGGGGAGGGGAAUGCCUGGCAGGGGGCAUGCCACCCCAGCUUCUGCCCUAUCUCGCCCCUGCCGCCUCCUGAGCCCUGCCUUCUCCCUCCCAGGAGUGGUCUCCUGACCUCCUGACUGCCCCAAACCAGACCUGUUUCUUCUCCCCGGGCAUCUGCUCCUGCCCCAACUCUGGCCCGAAGGGCUUGCCCCACCCAGAUCUUCGGAUAGUUCUUUCUGGUCAUCCAAGAGUCAGCUCAAACGUCACCUCUCAGAAAGGCCUUCCCUGACCCUUUCUCCAGAAGCCAGGGCCCUCCGCCCCACCUAGGUUUCAAGAUCACAUCUCUGAUUUAUUUUCUUCACAUGUCACAACCAAAACGAUGAUCUUGGUCCUUUCGUGUUGACUUGCUGACUGUCCUUCUUCCUCGAGACUGUCCACGCCGGGAGGGCAGGGUCAUGCUCUCCCCCGGGCUGGACCCAGGCCAGGGGUGAGGCUCAGACCCAGAGAGUGAGUCGCUGAAGGCCACAUGGAUGCCCUGUGUUCCAACUCCCAGCCUGGGUCCGCAGCAACCAGCUGUGCCCCCAGCCCACGGCCCGCCCACCAGGACAGGUGCCGUGGGCCCUCUCCCUGCCAGGCCAGGCAGCCGCAGGGGGACCAGAGCGGGUGGCUCAGCCUGUGCAGGCUCCAGAACCUGUUGCCAUGGCAACCCGGGGUCCAGGCCUGCCCUGCUCGGAGGAUGAGCCUGAAGCUGAGAUUUCCUUGGGCACAGGGAGAGGACCAGAGAUGCUCAGAGCGAGGCUCCUGCUCUGCUUCCUCUGCCCAGCUCAGGGAGGGCCUUGGGAAUGAAGCCCCCGCCCCCACCCCGCCCCAUGUUCCAGAUGAGGACAUCGAGGGUGCGGACUUGCUCCUCCAAGCCCAGCACUGGACGGCCGGACAGUCCUCCCAGGAGGCACAGCUCUGAAGCCCAGGGCGCUGGUUCAGAUCGUCGUGCGGCCACUUCCUGAUCCUGUGACUCAGGGAAGUCACGUGACUCUCCAGGACUCAGUUUCCCUGUCUGUAUAAUAGGGAUCCUGUACCCGGCUCUCCCUGGCUGGCCAGCUGGGUCAGGGGUGAUGUGUUAGUUCGAGACGUAUGAAUCCUGGUGUUUGGCCAUCUCUGACCCAUCCUUCGGAUCAGCGCUUCUAAAACCACUGUGCACAUGCGUAACGGGGGUCUUCUUAAAGUGCAGACUCGGACUCGGCAGGUCGGAGGUAGGCCUGGCACUGUGCAUUCCUAACAGGCCCCCAGGGGAAGCGGCUGCCGCUGGUCCACGGUCCACACUUGGAGGAUCAAUGGUGUAGAUCUGGACCAUGAGGAAAACGUAACAACUGUACUGUGUGCUGAGUGCCUGGCUGUGCCAGGCAUUGGGCUGGCACCUUUAUACCCAUCCUCACAUCCGAUCCUCACAGCAACCCUGCAAGGGAAAUGUGGUCAUCCUCAGUCUACAAUGAGGAAGCUGAGGCUCAGAGAGGUCAAUGCCCUGCCCAGGGACACACAGCCAAUAAGUGGCACAGCCAGGUGUCAAAGCCAGGCCUGUGAGGCGUCCCCACCAGGGUCCUCGUCCAUCCAUCCAAACCUUUGCAGAGGCUCACGAUCCUUGCCGCCAAGAAGCUCACAGCCCUGGCGGGGACCUAAGAUACACCCAGGACACGGAGACAUCCUUAGGUGGCCUCCAGGCAGCGGUGGGAAAGGACACCUUGCUACUUUUGGGAACUCACCCGUGAGCAAAGCUCCCCAGAGGGCACAUUGGACAACGGAGGAAGUGGGUGGGAGCUGGGUUGGCAACCUGGGACCAUGCUGGGAGAGGACAGCAUGAGGGGGGGUCCACUACUCCUUGUGAACCCCAAACUUGCCCAACUCCCUUCUCUCCUACCCACCUGCUUCCCUCCCUCUCCUACUGAACACACUUCAGAGUCCCCGCCUGGGCUACUUGCCCCCAGCAGAGGACGGCCAGGGGUCCCUGGAGGUGGCAGAACUGAAUGUCACCCCAUUUCUGUCCCUGACUCGCUGUGUGACAUUGGGUAAGUCACAUGAUGUCUCUGAACCUCAGAUGUUCCCUCUGAACACCAUGCUUGUACUGUGGGGACAGGUCUUGAAGAUAAAGGCCGUGUCAGACCUUCUACCAAAGGGGAGCUUCCCAAUGGCGGUGGGACAAGAUGGGGACUCGGGGUGGUAGGACGAGGCAAGGGAGAGGAGAGGACAAGGCCGCUCACCUUCCAUCUCGAGGGUCCCUGUCCAGUGUCAGCUCAGCCCGGUGGGCAGUGAGAGGAAGCUCCUUUAGCCAGCGGUCGGGCCUAAUGCCCACCAGAGGGCCCUCCCCAGACAGGGGCGGAGCUUGGUGAAAAUCUGUGGGUGAACUGGGCAGUGGUGUGUUUUCAUCUCUGCUGGGUCUGGGAGACGGGUGUCGAGGUCCAAAGAGGGAUGCUGGCACCAGGCUGCCCAGGUCCAAACGCCAGCUCUGCCCUGACUGACCCUUGACCUUGCAAAGCUGCUUCAGACGUUGGUUUGCCCCAUCUGUAAAACUGGGCUGGUGGGGGGCGGUCACACUCCUCUCUCACGGGCACGUUGUGAGGCUUAACUGAGUUAUCAGACCCGAAGGGCUUGGAGCAAGCUGCCGACACAGUGCGGGCCACGUGAACAUUCGCUCUUCAGAACAUUGACCAAACAUUGGUGACUUUGACACUGUGGCUGGCUUCUCAUUCUUCUGAGGCCCUCAGGUUCCUUGCAGUCACACACAGCUUCCUCUGGAAAGCCGGUGAGGGUCCGUGUGCGGUACCCCCACCGAGAGGG